rnacentral:rRNA from 1 species
UGAGCAAUCUGCCCUUCACAUCGGAAUAACCAUUGGAAACGAUGGCUAAUACCGAAUAUGACUUCGGAUCGCAUGAUCUGAAGUGGAAAGCUCCGGCGGUGAAGGAUGAGCUCGCGGCCUAUCAGCUUGUUGGUGUGGGUAAUAGCCCACCAAGGCGACGACGGGUAGCCGGCCUGAGAGGGUGACCCGGCCACACUGGGACUGAGACACGGCCCAGAUCCGUACGGG